UACGUAGGGUGCGAGCGUUGUCCGGAUUUAUUGGGCGUAAAGAGCUCGUAGGCGGUUUGUCGCGUCGGCCGUGAAAUCUCCACGCUUAACGUGGAGCGUGCGGUCGAUACGGGCAGACUUGAGUUCGGUAGGGGAGACUGGAAUUCCUGGUGUAGCGGUGAAAUGCGCAGAUAUCAGGAGGAACACCGGUGGCGAAAGCGCUCAUCUGGCCCAAUACUGACGCUGAGGCGCGAAAGCUAGGGGAGCAAACGGG
rnacentral:rRNA from 1 species